UACAGAGGGUGCGAGCGUUGUUCGGAAUUAUUGGGCGUAAAGGGCGCGUAGGCGGUGUGGUAAGUCACCUGUGAAAUCUCCUGGCUCAACUGGGAGCUUGCAGGCGAAACUGCCGUGCUGGAGUGUGGGAGAGGUGCGUGGAAUUCCUGGUGUAGCGGUGAAAUGCGUAGAUAUCAGGAGGAACACCUGUGGCGAAAGCGGCGCACUGGACCGCAACUGACGCUGAGGCGCGAAAGCUAGGGGAGCAAACAGG
rnacentral:rRNA from 1 species